CCUGCAGAUGCAGAACAAGGCUGCUGCCCUUGGACAUCCGUCCCUCUGCUCUGUGCUGGCCAGUCUCUCUCCCAGGCCUUGGUGCGGGGGAUGGGGAGGGAGGGGGCAGGCAGCCCCUGGGGUCACCCCACUCUGGCACCGGCUUCACCCCCAACUUCCACUCCAACAAACACCAGGAUGCAGGAAAAACAGCAAUAAUAUCUAUUCUGCUUGCUUCCACUGAUUUUCCUUAAUCUCUGGAUACAUUCUCUAUCUCCACCCUCACCCCAAUACACGUUAACCAUGUGACAGGCUCUGUGCUAAACACUUGAUGGGCAUUUGUCCUCACAGUGCCUUAUGAGGCAGGUGCCAUCCUCACCCCCAUCUCACUGAUGAGGAAACGUACUCAAAGAGGGCAGGCGAUUUGCUCCAGGGCACAGAGCUGCCCACUGGUGGAGCCAGGAUUCCAAUGCAGACAGCCUGGCUUCAGAGCCCUCCGGCUGAACCCCAGCUCCUACCAAGAACUCUUCUGUGGGACCCCGGAAUGAAUCAGAUGAAGCUUUCACUUUCACCCUGCAGGGUUCUUGAGUCAAGUCCAGUAGGGGAGACAGACAUAGGAACGGGUCACUUAAAUUCAUCCAUUCAACAAGUAUUUAUCAAACAUCAUUUCUGCUCUAGGCAUUAAAGAUGCAAAGAGUGGUAAGGAGGGUCCCCCUCUUUGGCAGCUCACAGCCCAGUGGGGGAGACAGACGUUAAGAAGCACUUGGAGCAGUGUGACACACGCUGUCAUGGGGGAAGCACAGCGAAUGCGGGGGCCCUGAUCCAGCUCCCACCCCCUGAAGUGCUUCCCAGGCAGUCAGACAGCCAACUUGUCAUUUAAAAAAUCAUCGCAGGAGGCUGUGGGGGGCACAGGGAGGUCAGAUGGUGAGACCGGCAGGCACCCAUGCAAUGGUCCAGGAGAGAGGGUGGGGUCUGGAUGCAUCAGCACCGGCUAUCACAGGGGCUCCUGCAGGGGCCUCCUAGGUAGAGACAGAAAGACAGCCAGAAAAGCUGACACCCACACCGACUGACAAGCUGCCCAGCCCAAAGGAGCAUCCAUCUCCCCGGGUACAGUGGCAGCAGGGUGGUUGGGAGGCUGAUGGAAGGGCCCUGUCAUUCUUCCUUCCUCCAACCAUCUUCCUAUCAACUCCCUCCAUAUGGGAACCCUGUUUUAAGCCAAAGUCAACAUGCGUGAGUGAGAAGGAAGCUGGCGCCCAGCACAGGAGAGAGAGAGCGCUUCCAUCCACGAUCAUGCUGACAAAUAGCCAUAAGGGCAGGAGGGUCUGCUCCUGUCCCUAGGAACAUCCUCAGAAAGGUCUCAGCUAUACUCCCGGCAGAGGCAGCACUUCUCUUCCUAAAAGCAGGCACAGGAAGGGGUCUAGAACUUACAGGAUCCAGUUUCCCUCUGGUCCAGUUGCAGAGAGGGCUGUUGUGGCAGGACACAACUGUAUUUUUUUUUUUUUUGAGACAGAGUCUCGCUCUGUCGUCUAAGCUGGAGUGCAACGGCGCAAUCUUGGCUCACUGUAAGCUCCACCUCCCAGGUUCACGCUAUUCUCCUGCCUCAGCCUCCUAAGUAGCUGGGACUACAGGCAUGUGCCACCACGCCGGGCUUAUUUUGUAUUUUUAGUAGAGACGGGGUUUCUCCAUGUUGGGCAGGCUGGUCUCAAACUCCCGACCUCAGGUGAUCCGCCCACCUUGGCCUUCCAAAGUGUUGGGAUUACAGGCGUGAGCCACAGUGCCUGGCCUAAAAUUUUAAUUAUUAAUGUUUAUAUUUUAUUGUAAAAUACACAAAAAUUUACAAUUUGAACCAUUUUAAGUGUACAAUUCAGUGGCAUUAAGUACAUUCACACUGUUGUACAACUAUCACCACUGUCCUUUUCAGAACUUUCUCAUCAUCCCAAACAGAAACUCUGCACCCUUUAAAUAACUCCUUGUUCCUUCCUCCCUGCAAUCCCUGCUUUUUUUUUUUUGAGGUGGAGUCUCACUCUGUUGCCCAGGCUGGAGUGCAGUGGCAUGAUCUCUGCUCACUUCAAUCUCUGCCUCCCAGGCUCAAGCGAUUCUCCUGCCUCAGCCUCCUGAGUAGCUGAGUCUACAAGUGUGCACCAUAACGCCCAGCUAAUUUUUGUAUUUUUAGUAGUGACAGGGUUUUGCCAUGUUGGCCAGGCUGGUCUCAAACUCCUGGCCUCAAGUGAUCCGCCCGCCUUGGCCUCCCAAGGUGCUGGCAUUAAAGGUAUGAGCUAUCAUGCCCGGCUGCCUGCUAAUCUCUAUUAUAGUUCCUGUCUCUAUGGAUUUCACUAUUCUAGGUAUUCAUGUAAGCGCAAUCAUACAAUAUUUGUCCUUUUGUGUCUGGCUUAUUUCACCUGCCAUAAUGUUUUCAGGGCUUAUCCAUGCUGUAGCAUGUGUCAAAAUCCCAUUCCUUCUUAAGGAUGUAUAAUGUUCCAUUGUAUAUAUAUACCACAUUUUGUUUAUCCACUUACCGACUGAUGAACAGAGGUUGUUUCCACCUCUUGGUGACUGGGAAUAAUGCUGCUGUGAACAUUGAUGUGGAAAUAUCUGUUUGUGGACUCAGGGUUCUAAUUCAUCAUAACCUGUAGCUCUCACAAGGGGAAUCAAAGUCAGAUUUAAGAAAGACCUCAUGGUUUCCUACUACCAGUGACCAAAGUAGCAACAUCUCCCUCUCUGGGUAGCUUUAAUAUUCAGAGACUCCCGUGCUGCCCCUCAUCACACCCUCUCCAGAUGGAGAUAAUGCCGGGAAGGGUUGCCCUGCUGGAGGAAAGAGGCUUUAAGGGCCACCCUGGGGUCAGAGCUCUGGGUGGUUUACUUUUAGGAGCUGGGUGGUGGGGCUUUCAUUGUUUUCCCUUGGGCUCUGGUACAUUUGCCACCACACUCCAACCCCAGACCCUGCUUUCUCUUUCUCCUUUCCCUGGCAACAUCCAGGCUGUCUCACUUUUUCUCUCCCAGGCUAAAUCGAGAGUGUGAAGCUGCUCUUCUUCCCAAUUUAGCAUUUGAAUUAAAGCGAGAACUGAAUGUGGCUGGAAAGCUGACUCCCAUCUGUGUGUGAGAGAGAGAAAAGGAGCACAAGUGAGCGUGGGCACACGCUGGGGCAGCCAGGGCAAGGGCAGCCGAUCCGGGCAGCUCUUGUUUAGCGCAGACACUCAUCCUCGGGCGUAGGCAACAGCUCAGCUGAGAGACACUGAAGUUUGAAGGUUGCUGUUUUUCCAGAAGGGAAAGAUUGCUGCAGGGGCAUCCUUGUAACAUUCUACACAAAUGUGCCAAGUGUUUAUCGUGUGCCAGGCCCCGUGCUGGAGAUGCUGGGCAAACAGUGGGGAGCCAGCUGGGCCCAUUGUCUAUGCCCCAGCCUUCAGGCUGGUGGAUAAACAGACUGGGAAGCAGGCAAUGGGCACACAGGGCAAUGUGUGCUGUCAGGGGGAAAGGACAGGUAUGUCAGGGGCCUGGAGGGGCAUCUGACAACUUGGCAGUGGGGUGGAGGAGUCACUCUGAGCUGAGACUCGAAGCACACACAGGAGCUGACCAGGUGAAGCAGGUAAACAAGGGUGCUUCAGGCAGAAGGAAAUGUGCAUGCAAAGAUUUGAGUGGGGCGGGCACGGUAGCUCACGCCUGUAAUCCCAACACUUUGGGAGGCCGAGGCAGGAGG
rnacentral:lncRNA from 10 species